GCCCAGACUCCUACGGGAGGCAGCAGUGGGGAAUAUUGCACAAUGGGGGAAACCCUGAUGCAGCGACGCCGCGUGAGCGAUGAAGUAUUUCGGUAUGUAAAGCUCUAUCAGCAGGGAAGAAAAUGGCGGUACCUGACUAAGAAGCCCCGGCUAACUACGUGCCAGCAGCCGCGGUAAUACGUAGGGGGCAAGCGUUAUCCGGAUUUACUGGGUGUAAAGGGAGCGUAGACGGCAAUGCAAGCCAGAUGUGAAAGCCCGGGGCUCAACCCCGGGACUGCAUUUGGAACUGUGUAGCUGGAGUGUCGGAGAGGCAGGCGGAAUUCCUAGUGUAGCGGUGAAAUGCGUAGAUAUUAGGAGGAACACCAGUGGCGAAGGCGGCCUGCUGGACGAUGACUGACGUUGAGGCUCGAAAGCGUGGGGAGCAAACAGGAUUAGAUACCCGGGUAC
rnacentral:rRNA from 1 species